AUACGUAGGUGGCAAGCGUUGUCCGGAAUUAUUGGGCGUAAAGCGCAUGUAGGCGGUUUGGUAAGUCGGUCGUGAAAAUGCGGUGCUUAACGCCGUAUGGCGAUUGAAACUGCUGAACUUGAGUGCAGGAGAGGAAAGGGGAACUCCCAGGGUAGCGGUGAAAUGCGUAGAUAUUGGGAAGAACACCGGUGGCGAAGGCGCGUUUCUGGACUGUGUCUGACUCUCGGAUGCGAAAGCCAGGGUAGCGAACGGGAGUAGAUACCCCGGUAGUCCUGGCCGUAAGCGAUGGGUGCUAGGUGUGGGAGGUGUCGACUCCUUCCGUGCCGGAGUUAACGCAAUAAUUACCCCGCCUGGGGAGUACGGCCGCAAGGCUUAAACUCAAAUGAAUUGACGGGG
rnacentral:rRNA from 1 species